rnacentral:rRNA from 1 species
UACGAGGGGAGCAAGCGUUGUUCGGAUUUACUGGGCGUAAAGGGCGCGUAGGCGGCGUGACAAGUCACUUGUGAAAUCUCCGGGCUUAACCCGGAACGGUCAAGUGAAACUGUCGUGCUAGAGUACAGAAGGGGCAACUGGAAUUCUCGGUGUAGCGGUGAAAUGCGUAGAUAUCGAGAGGAACACCUGCGGCGAAGGCGGGUUGCUGGGCUGACACUGACGCUGAUGCGCGAAAGCUAGGGGAGCGAACGGG